rnacentral:rRNA from 1 species
UACGGAGGGUGCAAGCGUUGCUCGGAAUUACUGGGCGUAAAGCGCGUGUAGGUGGAUUGGUGUGUCAGAUGUGAAAGCCCUGGGCUCAACCCAGGAACUGCACCUGAAACUACCAGUCUUGAGUGGUGGAGAGGGAAGUGGAAUUCCUGGUGUAGAGGUGAAAUUCGUAGAUAUCAGGAGGAACACCAGUGGCGAAGGCGGCUUCCUGGACACUAACUGACGCUGAGACGCGAAAGCGUGGGGAGCAAACAGG